rnacentral:rRNA from 1 species
ACGGGUGAGUAAUGUGUGGGUAAUCUGCCUCGCAGAGGGGGAUAACCCGGCGAAAGCUGGGCUAAUACCCCAUAACAUUGCUUGGUUCUCGGACCGAGUAAUCAAAGGAUGGCCUCUAUUUAUAAGCUAUCGCUGAGAGAUGAGCCCACAUCCUAUCACGCUUGUUGGUGGGGUAACGGCCUACCAAGGCGACGACGGGUAGCCGGCCUGAGAGGGUGUCCGGCCACACUGGAACUGAGACACGGUCCAGACUCCUACGGGAGGCAGCAGUGGGGAAUUUUUCGCAAUGGGCGAAAGCCUGACGAAGCAACGCCGCGUGGAGGAUGACGGCCCUCGUGGUCUUAAACUCCUGUCUAGUGGGACGAAAGUAUCCAGGGUGAAUAAUCCUGGGUAUUGACUGUACCGCUGGAGGAAGCUCCGGCCAACUCCGUGCCAGCAGCCGCGGUAAUACGGAGGGAGCAAGCGUUACUCGGAAUUAUUGGGCGUAAAGGGCGCGUAGGCGAUUCGACAAGUCAACUGUGAAAGCCCAGGGCCUAACCCUGGAAGUGCAGCUGAUACUGUCGGAUUUGAGUUCCGGAGAGGAAGG